UACGGAGGGAGCUAGCGUUGUUCGGAAUUACUGGGCGUAAAGCGCACGUAGGCGGCUACUCAAGUCAGAGGUGAAAGCCCAGGGCUCAACCCUGGAACUGCCUUUGAAACUAGGUAGCUAGAAUCUUGGAGAGGUCAGUGGAAUUCCGAGUGUAGAGGUGAAAUUCGUAGAUAUUCGGAAGAACACCAGUGGCGAAGGCGACUGACUGGACAAGUAUUGACGCUGAGGUGCGAAAGCGUGAGGAGCAAACAGG
rnacentral:rRNA from 1 species